rnacentral:rRNA from 1 species
CAUGCCGUAAACGUUGGGCGCUAGAUGUGGGGACCAUUCCACGGUUUCCGUGUCGUAGCUAACGCAUUAAGCGCCCCGCCUGGGGAGUACGGCCGCAAGGCUAAAACUCAAAGGAAUUGACGGGGGCCCGCACAAGCGGCGGAGCAUGCGGAUUAAUUCGAUGCAACGCGAAGAACCUUACCAAGGCUUGACAUAUACCGGAAACGGCCAGAGAUGGUCGCCCCCUUUUGGGUCGGUAUACAGGUGG